UAAAUACAUAUACAGCUAACCAUAGAGAUCACCUUUCAGUCCACAAAGGCUGUAAAUCUUUCAUGGUUUGAUGCAAGUAUUUGAACACUGCUUGAUGGUACGGACCCGUGCAUCAUUGUGCUCUUGUGCUCUGUCAGGAGAUAAAUAAUUCAGGGUUUAUAAUACUGAUUAGGUGACGAAAAUUUUGGGUUAAAAUCACAAACCUGUUCGUCAAUGAUGAGCAUUUCCAGUCCAAUAAAGGUUCGAGCUGUUCGAGAGUAGAGAGUUCAAGAUCCGAAUCGGCUAGGAGCGUCUCCUCAGCUCCUUUGAGAAUACGGUGGAGUGCGGAUAAGUCCCCGGAGCUCGCUGAUAGGCCCUGGAUUGACGUUAUCAGAUUCCCCGUCGAGCUCAUGCCUCCGAUCGUUAUAGAAAUUUACGAUGAACACAAACCCUAAUCGAUCGCCUGUUUCUCUCCCUCUCAAUAUAAAUUACUCAACUGUUUGAUUAAUUACAAAGAAGAUGAAACUGAGAAGACAGAUUGAAUGGAAUGAGUGAGUAGAUGGACGUUUUAGAGGAUUAGGGUUUGUCAAGUGUUUUUCACCUGGGCUGUAUAUGAGGCGCAGAGAACUGAUUUACGGAGAUCGAAGAUCCCAAAAGCCCGGGGCCCGAUUUCUUUUAAGAAUUGGCUAAGCAUAGAUGACGUGGCAUAAAGGAUUUCUCUUAUUGGUUGAUUAUUAUUGAGGAUAUGGACAGCAUGAGAGGAGCUCUUAUUUAACUUUUACUAUAGUAUAGAUUUAAGGAAAUGUUUGUUGCUAUCAGGUUAGUUAUUUGAUUUUAUGAUUCAGAAGACUUUUUGGGAAAAUUUUCUAACAUGUAAUGGAUUAGAAGAUUUUUUGGGAAGUCUUCUCAGAAGAAUACUAAAUUUAGGGUUUAAAAGACUUUUUUUCCAAAUAAGUGUUCUGAACCGAAAAUAUUCAACCUAAUUGAUUUUUUUCUCUUUAUAUUAAGAAAAUUCGCAUAUUCUCUCUCUUCCUCUCAAAUGACUGCAACAAAAAUGUAAUGUUUCUCACUCUAAAACUCUUCAACCUCUCUCUAAUCUCUUUAUACUUGAAAACACCAAACUUUAUAUCAAUUUCUUAUUUUUGUGUCUCAUGUCUUUCUUACUAAUUUAUCUUGUUUUUGCAGAUUUUUCAUUACAUGAUUCUCAGUUUCCACUUCUUUGAAGGUAGAUCUAUAAAUUUUGGAUAUGUAUUUUUGUGCUUUUUAUACAUUAGAUUCUAGAAAGUUAUAGAUUCAAUCUAAUGUGAAUGUUUUAUUUAUUAUUCAAGCAUAAAAUCUUAUUUUUGAAGUUUUUCUCUAUUUUGAAGCAAUUUGAACGUUUUUAGAUAUGAAAGUUUUUCAGAUUUGAGUCAGACUCCGGAAGACUAGGAAGUCUUCUGUAGUCUUCUGAAGUUUUCCUAAUUCAGGAAGACUUCCCGAAAGACUUCACAUACAUGAUUGCUUGUCAAAAGUGGUACAAAAGGAUGAUGUUAAGUGGAGUUCAAGCUUAUCUAUGUUGAGGAAUGAUCUCUUGCUCCAUGUGUAAUAAUUUUGUUUAUGAUAUAUUUUGUGAUUUGUAUGUGUACUCUUUUAGUUGUGGAUUCUUUUGUAAAAUUGAAGAGAUGUUAAUGAAAGAAAUUUGGUAAAUAUAUUUAUGUCUACAAUAUUAUUUAGCUAACAUUAUUUGACAUUAUUGAAGUUAUUGAUACAACAUAACAAAAAACCUUUUAGCAAUAUCAAUCACAUUAGGCUUCUCGGAAAUCUUCCUUCAACAUUAUCAAUCAUAGAAGAUUUUUUAAGAAAAUUCUUUAAAAACAUAACCAGAGAACACAGUAAGAUUUCUCUCAGAAUACUUUUUGGAGGUCUUCUCCAGAAGUCUUCUCUCAUAAGACUUCUCGGAAGACUUCUCCUGAAGAUUUCUCGGAAAAUUUCUCGCGAAUUAAAUGGGAAAUAAAAAUAAGCGGGAAAAUAAAAUUUAACCAAGAAAUUGAAAUUUCAAGUGAAAGUUGAAAUUUUAAAUCUCAUGAAAGUUAAAAGUAUAUCUUAUGAUCUAAGAAGAUAAAUUAAACCACAUGACUUGAUAUUCCUGAAGUUACUUAACACUUUUGAAAGUUAAAACACAUAUAUUGAAGUUACUUAACACUCUUGAAAAUACAAGUUUUACAAAAACUAACGUAGAAGACUUCUCUCAUUAACUAGAAACAUUAAUAAACAUGAAUAUUAGUAACCUUAUAAUUAUCACCAAUUAAGCUAUGAAUUUCAUUCAGAAGCUUUAAUAUUGACUAAUACACAUGAAUUAACAAGAAAAUCUUAUAAAAUUUAUUUUAAAUUUGGAGAAAAUAAAAGUUUAAUAAACACUGACGUAGAAGACUUCUCAUAGAAUUCUCAGAAGUCUUCCAAAGAAGACUUUUUUAAGAAUUCUUCCAUUUAGGUCAUUUGGCAAUCGUAAAUUUACUAAGAAUACUUCUAAAGAAGUCUACUCUACAUGAGACUUCUUAAAAAGUUUUCCUUUGAAAAUAUUUGCUUACUUUUGUAUUUGAAUUUUCUUAAAAAUACCAGAGAAGACUUCUAGUGAAGUCUUCUCUGAUAAACAUGUUAGUUUUGCAGAUAUUUGACUUUUUCUUAGAAGAAGUUUUCUAACAGUCACAUUAAGUCUUCUCACUAUCGCAAGAAGUCUGUAUAGGUUACUUUUGCAAUUAAUCAUAUUUGCCUUUUUCAGAUAUGUAGAAGUCUUAUGACAAAAUACUUUUAUAGAAGUUCUUUUUCGUAAUCAAAUGUUUGACCAGAAACACUGAAUAAAAAUCGAGAAUACAUUUAGAGAAGUCUUCUGACAGAAGACAUCUCUGGAAGUCUUCUAAUUAAUAUUAAUUUUUUUACUAUUAAUUUUCAAUUGCUAGGAGGACUGGGCUUUAAAGAUAUAGAAACUUAGAAUGACUCGCUUUUAGCAAAGCUUGGCUGGAGAAUCUUGAAUAACCCAACCUCACUGCUAGCUCAAGUUCUCAAGGGAAAUACUUCCGUGAAUGCUCCUUUAUGGAGAGCACAAACAAGAACAACUCAUCUCAUGGGUGGUAUGGAAUCAUGGCGGGGAAGAGGCUCUGAAACUGGGUCUUGGUUAUGUUGUGGGUAACGGACAGGACAUCGCUGUCUGGUCUGACCCAUGGCUGUCUAGCACAGAGGUAGCAACUCCAAUUGGCCCCAUUACGCUCAGCGCUCAACAUCUAAAGGUUGCUGACCUCCUAGAUCACUCAACAAACAGCUGGGACUUGACUAAAAUACGUCAAGAAUUACCUCUCUAUGAGGAAACCAUCAGACAGAUCAUCCCAAGCUCACUUCAACCACCAGACAAGCGAGUUUGGCUGGGGGAGAAGAAUGUAAUCUACUCCACCAAGUCAGGGCACCGGUUGAUGAGGAAGAAAGUCCCCCACACUGGAGACUCGGCAACAAAUUGGAUGAAGCUGAUUUGGGAGGUCCAUAUACCACCUAAGAUCUAGUUCUUCCUAUGGCGAGCUGCAAAAGAUGCACUCCCAGUAGGAUCUCUUCUUGCUACUAGAGGCGUUCGCUCAGAGCUCAACUACAAACGAUGUGGAGAUGAGGAAUCAAUCCUCAAUAUCUUUUUUGACUGUGACUUUUGAUUCCACUCUAAUUAUCCUAAGGAGUGAAUUACUCUCUCAAAUAAGAGGUUCAAUUGUAGUACUUAGGGAUUGAAUCCACAAGGAGCUAGGGAACCUAUUAAAUCUAGAUGAUUAUUAAUUCUAAGGUUUUGUUGUUUAUUGGUUUAAAAGUAAAUAGCAAUCCUAAAUGAGCAAGUCUAUUGCUCGACUAACAAGAUGAUUGGGGGUGUAACUUAUUGGAAAGAUAUUAGAUGCAGAGUUUCUAUUCAGGUAUUGGAGAUUAUAAUCCUAUAGAAGCCUAUCAGUUGCUUGUAUGAUAUGUUAGAACUCAACCCUUUAACACAGUGAUCAGCAAUGGCAAUGUUUCACUGGUUAACUAACUAAAUCUUGGAUCUCAACUGUUGUUUAUUGACCACAAGAAAGUGUCGAUCGAUGGUCCUAUAGGGACAUCGAUCGAUACACCUUUCGCAAGAUCGAUCGAUUAUCAGAAGACAGUAUCAAUCGAUGCUUCUAGUUAAGCCCUAGGCGCAAGUUGAUAAUGAACACUAGCUUCCUGGUUCAGCGGUAGCCUUUUUCCUAUCGUCUAGUCUGACAUAUUAGAUUCAGGACUGGAUGGUCAAGGUUGCUUGACUCAUGCAGAUUCCUAGAUUCAAUAUUCUAGGUAGCUAAUCUAGAACAAGCAUUAAGAUCAAUCUAUCAAUAAAUACCACAACUUAGCAAUCUAUAGUUGAGGCUAAUCCCUCUAACCUAUUUGAACCCUGAAUCUAACAAGUGAACUACUCAGACAUAGCUAAGGAUUUCAUGAAACAAAAUGUAAAUGAAAAAUGCAUAGAA